rnacentral:rRNA from 1 species
GGAAUUGACGGGCCCGCACAAGCAGCGGAGCGUGUGGUUUAAUUCGAUGUUACACGAAGAACCUUACCAGGGUUGACAUGCAAGUGGUAGGAAGCCGAAAGGUGACCGACCCUUCGGGAGCUUGCACAGGUGCUGCAUGGCUGUCGUCAGCUCGUGUCGUGAGAUGUUCGGUUAAGUCCGCUAACGAGCGCAACCCUCGUCGUGUGUUAUACGUGUCACACGAUACUGCCGGUAUCAAGCCGGAGGAAGGUGGGGAUGAUGUCAAGUCAGCAUGGCCUUUAUAUCCUGGGCUACACACACGCUACAAUGGCAGAUACAAUAGGUUGCGAAACCGCGAGGUGGAGCCAAUCCUCAAAGUCUGUCUCAGUUCAGAUUGUAGGCUGCAACUCGCCUGCAUGAAGUUGGAGUUGCUAGUAAACGCAGGUCAGCUAUACCGCGUUGAAUACGUUCCCGGGGUUU